GAAUCCAGCUCAGAUCACCUCAAAUGGAGCCACUGAUGAUUCUCUUCUUCAUAAGUGCUUCUCUUUGGGGUUGUCUUGGUUGGGAU
rnacentral:pre_miRNA from 1 species